CCCCAGUACAUCCCACUCGUCCACUGGCGCUUCCUAAUAGCAGCAUCUUUAUUUUCCUACCUGAAGCGCUCUUGUCCUUCCAAGCGACAGGAAGGAGAUAAGGCGUGUUCUUGUUAAGAGCUUGUUCGGAGUGGGAACACGGGUAGCUCUGGGAGCCCUGCUGACCAUUAUCUUCCCAUUCAGGUCUGUAUUGUGGAAGCUGCUCUCUAUUUUCUCAUGUAGAG
rnacentral:lncRNA from 1 species